rnacentral:rRNA from 1 species
UACGGAGGGUGCAAGCGUUAUCCGGAAUCACUGGGCGUAAAGGGCGCGUAGGCGGUUUGUUAAGUCCGAUGUUAAAUCCCGAGGCUCAACCUCGGAUCAGCGUUGGAUACUGGCAGGCUCGACGGUUGGAGAGGCGAGUGGAAUUACCAGUGUAGCGGUGGAAUGCGUAGAUACUGGUAGGAACACCCAUUGCGAAGGCAGCUCGCUGGACAACACGUGACGCUGAGGCGCGAAAGUGUGGGGAGCAAACCGG